rnacentral:rRNA from 1 species
CCUACGUGUGGCAGCAGUGGGGAAUAUUGGACAAUGGGCGAAAGCCUGAUCCAGCCAUGCCGCGUGUGUGAAGAAGGCCUUCGGGUUGUAAAGCACUAUCAGUGGGGAAGAAAGCCUUGGGGCUAAUACCCUCGAGGAAGGACAUCACCCACAGAAGAAGCACCGGCUAACUCCGUGCCAGCAGCCGCGGUAAUACGGAGGGUGCGAGCGUUAAUCGGAAUUACUGGGCGUAAAGCGCGCGUAGGCGGUCUGAUAAGCCGGUUGUGAAAGCCCCGGGCUCAACCUGGGAACGGCAUCCGGAACUGUCAGGCUAGAGUGCAGGAGAGGAAGGUAGAAUUCCCGGUGUAGCGGUGAAAUGCGUAGAGAUCGGGAGGAAUACCAGUGGCGAAGGCGGCCUUCUGGACUGACACUGACGCUGAGGUGCGAAAGCGUGGGUAGCAAACAGGAUUAGAUACCCUUGUAGUC